GACGAACGCUGGCGGCGUGCUUAACACAUGCAAGUCGAACGAUGAAGCCGGAGCUUGCUCUGGUGAAUUAGUGGCGAACGGGUGAGUAACACGUGAGUAACCUGCCCUUGACUCUGGGAUAACUGCUAGAAAUGGUAGCUAAUACCGGAUACGACCCUCGGAGGCAUCUUCAGGGGGUGGAAAGAAUUUCGGUCAAGGAUGGACUCGCGGCCUAUCAGAUAGUUGGUGAGGUAAUGGCUCACCAAGGCGACGACGGGUAGCCGGCCUGGGAGGGUGACCGGCCACACUGGGACUGAGACACGGCCCAGACUCCUACGGGAGGCAGCAGUGAGGAGUAGUGGACAAUGGGCGCAAGCCUGAUGCAGCAACGCCGCGUGAGGGAUGACGGCCUUCGGGUUGUAAACCUCUUUUAGUAGGGAAGAAGCGAAAGUGACGGUACCUGCAGAAAAAGCACCGGCUAACUACGUGCCAGCGGCCGCAGUAA
rnacentral:rRNA from 1 species